UGCGCAGGCGCACCCUCCCCAGACCCGGCUCCGCGUCUGAAGUCAGUGGGAGGUGAGGAGGGCCAGCCCGUGUUCCUAGACUGUGGGAAACCCAGGCGUGGGAAGCGUGAGGGGAGGAGUGUCACCGCGGGCGCCCAAGGCCGGUUUGUGGGAGUAAGGACGCGGAGAAGCCGAAGUUGUGCCCAGACAUGAGGAAGACGUCCAGAUGUCUCACCGCAGCGAUGCGCGCCGCCGGGAUGAGUGCGACGUUCCGGAACUUCGCCACGGAGUGCUGCGUAGAUGGCGGUGUGGCCAUGGCCCAGAGACCUAUGUUAGGUUACCAAAGGAUGUGAAUGGAUGAAGAGAGUAAGCUGUGAAAGAAAACAGCUUUUAAGAGCAACGUUUCUCAAAUUAGUUUCCACAGAUGGGAAGGAUCCUCAAGUUCCCUGCCAGGCUGUUUAAACUUUGCGCUUUAAGUCCAUGGACAAAUUAAUUCUGCAUCAUCUAUAUGACUUCUUAAUUUCAGAGCCCAAGCAUGUUUUUUGUUCCUAUUAGUCUUCCUUUAAUUGUGUGGACCAAUGAGAAACUAACAGAGUUAGAAUAUGUCAAAGGAAAACAAAAGGUACACUACAGGAAGGUUUUUGCAGCUGUUAGAAUAAAGUAAUAAAGGAUUUGUCUUCUGU